rfam:Hordeum vulgare subsp. vulgare, WGS project CAJW01000000 data, contig: morex_contig_2546670
UUACUUACCUCCAUGGGGUCUAUGGGUGAUCAAUAAGGCUCAUGGCCUAGAUCAACGUCUCACAUUGCACUUUGUGAGUGCGGUCAUCUACCAUCUUUCCUUGUUGGAAGAGUGAACGCCAUAAUUUGUCAUAAAAAGGAUACGCGUUCACGCGGUCCCAC